rnacentral:tRNA from 1 species
GCGUCGGUGGUUCAGUGGUAGAAUACUUGCCUGCCACGUGGGUGACCCGGGUUAGAUUCCCGGCCGACGCA